UCUAAUCACGUUAGUUCGGUGACCGUACUUGUAAAGAUCUCAUUACACAAGUUCCCUUGACAAAUCUCUUUUACCAAGCCUCUCUUCAAUACAAUGCUCAGAUUUUCUAGUGUGAUCACAUGUCUAUAAACUACAUCUCAAUUAGCCAAAUCACACAAAUGAUUAAAUAGUCUAGUGGUUAUCUUCUUCAAUCCUCAACAGAGAGGUCGAAGGUUCAAAUCCCAUCUUUGACAAUAUUUUUACAAUGGAAUAUCAUACCUUCUCUCCGUCCUUAAAAGGUGAAAAAAUCAAGCGUGUAUCUUCCUCCUUAAAUGAGUAUCGAGAGGUCAAAGGUUCAAAUCCCAUCUUUGACAAUCUUUUUACAGUGGAAUAUCAUACCUUCUCUCCGUCCUUAAAAGGUGAAAAAAACCAAGCAUGUACCUUCCUCCUGUAUUGAAAACCUUACCAAAAUCAGGGGGGAAUUCUAUGAGAAUUAAAAACCGUCCGUAAUUAAAUGAGUAUCGAGAGGUCAAAGAUUCAAAUCCCAUCUUUGACAAUAUUUUUACAAUGGAAUAUCAUACCUUCUCUCCGUCCUUAAAAGGUGAAAAAAUCAAGCGUGUAUCUUCCUCCUUAAAUGAGUAUCGAGAGGUCAAAGGUUCAAAUCCCAUCUUUGACAAUCUUUUUACAGUGGAAUAUCAUACCU
rnacentral:lncRNA from 1 species